UGGCUCAGUGGUAGAGUGCUUGCCUUGCAUGCAUGAGGCCCUGGGUUCGAUUCCCCAG
rfam:Dipodomys ordii contig_7907, whole genome shotgun sequence.